rnacentral:rRNA from 1 species
AGCGAACGCUGGCGGCAGGCUUAACACAUGCAAGUCGAGCGCCGUAGCAAUACGGAGCGGCAGACGGGAGAGUAACACGUGGGAACGUGCCCUUCAGUUCGGAACAACCCAGGGAAACUUGGGCUAAUACCGGAUACGUCCGAAAGGAGAAAGAUUUAUCGCUGAAGGAUCGGCCCGCGUCUGAUUAGCUAGUUGGUGGGGUAAUGGCCCACCAAGGCGACGAUCAGUAGCUGGUCUGAGAGGAUGAUCAGCCUCACUGGGACUGAGACACGGCCCAGACUCCUACGGGAGGCAGCAGUGGGGAAUAUUGGACAAUGGGGGCAACCCUGAUCCAGCCAUGCCGCGUGGGUGAUGAAGGCCCUAGGGUUGUAAAGCCCUUUCGGCGGGGAAGGUAAUGACGGUACCCGCAGAAGAAGCCCCGGCUAACUUCGUGCCAGCAGCCGCUGUAA